CUCAGAGCUCGACCUGCGGCGUCAGGGCUUACAGACUUGCCGCAGAACCACAGCGGGAAAAGAGGAGCGAUUCGUCCUUGAGGGGCUCAGGGCCGUGCGGAACGUCAUAGGAACAGAGUCCGGGAGUUUGAGAGAUCAGAACUCUUUGCUGUGGGCAUAGUGUUUAAAGUGGAGGUUAAAAAGAGAAAUUAGUGACUCUCCCUUUCUGAUUUUCGGAUAAUGGAUGCUCUGGAGCCUGGGUCAGAAAGCCACUCAGGGCUCGGUGGGAAUUAGUGAUUCUGGAGGGUGAAAGGAGAGGCGACUUGGUGGAUGUUAACAUUCAAUAAGUAACUGCGUUCGAUUUGGGUUUGAUUUAAGCGACUGGCAUAGCCUUCCUUGAGAGUUGAAUUUCACAAAUACUGUAUUUAGAAAUCACAUUUUUCGUUUUGUGCUUCCGAGGUUUCUCCUAUCAUCUAACAGCAACAACUAAA
rnacentral:lncRNA from 1 species